UAUUCUGGUGUCCUAGGCGUAGAGGAACCACACCACACCAACCCAUCCCGAACUUGGUGGUUAAACUCUACUGCGGUGACGAUACUUUAGGGGAGGCCCUGCGGGAAAAUAGCUCGGCGCCAGGAU
rnacentral:rRNA from 1 species